CAGUUUGUGUUCAUGUCUUUCUUUUUCUUAAGUUGAAAGGUGAUAUUUCACUGUUUACGCGGGGUCUCUACUGGGGAGUCGCAAGCUGUGUCUCAAUUCAGGGACCGCAUCCUUCGAAGGCUGCAUUUGAAGACCGAAUACGUCACAGUCAAUGCGACUAGCUGUCCCAUUUCGAAGGCUCCUUCAAAUGCAGCCUUCUUUUCGUCCGUUUGGAGGAUCCAACAGCUGGAUCCUUCGCAGCCCCAGGUAUCCCGACAUUCAUUGCGCGCUGGUUGAUUGUCCCAGCGUAAAUAAUGCCGUCGGCUGUGGCUGUGGAGUUGAGCCCCCCGGAUUUUACCUAUAAAUGUAAGUAUUGGAUUUCAACUCACUUCAAAAGCCACCUACACAAAUGUAAAAAUAACGAGGCAUAAAAGCACAAUGUGUUGUUUUGUGGAAGAAGUUAACGUGAGUUAAGUGAUUAACUGGCGAGCUAACGUUAAGUUAACGUUACCUGAGGUUACUGAUGUGCUAAUGUUAACGUUAAAUGCAAAUCGGCUGGGCAAGUUACAACCUAAAAAAUAAAGCCUUUAACGUCUUCACUUUAAAUCGAAGAGGUUCAGAGUCAGACCUGCGUCUUACCGAGAUUGUCGUGAUAUUAUACAUCAUUCAUACUUAAUAUUAUUUACAUGAAAAUAACGUUACCACAUAACGUUAGACGGGUUGUGAACCCUGCUUGGUUUUCACACCGUUAACGUUAGUAACGGUUACAAAAACCUUGGGAUAUAAUACACGGUUAAUGUAACUAGGAUUUAUGCUGCUUACUGUUUGGUGAUGUGAAGCAUAAAACUUACUAUGUUACUUACAUAGUUACUAUGUCGUUUUGUUUUAGGGAGCAAGGAGCAAACUGCCCUCUUUAUUAAAUUGAGGGGGGCGAGCGACCACCUCUUCACCGGGGCAAAGUUUUCUGCCAACGUGGCUUGGAGGACAAUUUUGGAGAAAAUGGGCCUGUGGGGGAAGGUGACUUCCCUCCAAGCGAAAAAAAAAGUGGGACGAUUUAAAAAAAAAAUACAAAGUAUGUAUGUAUGAUUUGAAAUUGAUAUAUUCUGUAUACUUUUUUGUAUAACUCGUUCACUGUGCAGUGAACCGCAUUCAUCUUACAACCCUGUUUUAAUAUAAUACAUAGAUUUACCUUGUACGUUGUAUAUUCAUUUCAUUCAUGUUAGUCAUGCACGUUAAUAAACACAGUUGCUGAAA